GAUGAACGCUGGCUACAGGCUUAGCACAUGCAAGUCGAGGGGAAACGACGGGGAAGCUUGCUUCCCCGGGCGUCGACCGGCGCACGGGUGAGUAACGCGUAUCCAACCUGCCUCUGACUGAGGGAUAACCCGUCGAAAGUCGGCCUAAUACCUCAUGGUAUCGUCUUCGGGCAUCCAACGACGAUUAAAGAUUUCAUCGGUCAGGGAUGGGGAUGCGUCUGAUUAGCUUGUUGGCGGGGUAACGGCCCACCAAGGCUACGAUCAGUAGGGGUUCUGAGAGGAAGGUCCCCCACAUUGGAACUGAGACACGGUCCAAACGCCUACGGGAGGCAGCAGUGAGGAAUAUUGGUAAAUGAGCGAGAGCCUGAACCAGCCAAGUAGCGUGCAGGAAGACGGCCCUAUGGGUUGUAAACUGCUUUUAUGCGGGGAUAAAGUGAGGGACGUGUCCCUCAUUGCAGGUACCGAAUGAAUAAGGACCGGCUAAUUCCGUG
rnacentral:rRNA from 1 species